UCGCACCUACCGAUUGGAUGGUCCGGUGAGAAUUUCGGAUUGUGGUUGAUAUGAGUCAAAUCAUUGAUACUGCGAGAAGUUAUUCAAACCUUACCAUCUAGAGGAAGGUG
rnacentral:rRNA from 1 species